rnacentral:rRNA from 1 species
GACGAACGCUGGCGGCGUGCCUAAUACAUGCAAGUAGAACGCACAGUUUAUACCGUAGCUUGCUCCACCAUAGACUGUGAGUUGCGAACGGGUGAGUAACGCGUAGGUAACCUGCCUGGUAGCGGGGGAUAACUAUUGGAAACGAUAGCUAAUACCGCAUAAUAUUAAUUAUUGCAUGAUAAUUAAUUGAAAGGUGCAAUUGCACCACUACCAGAUGGACCUGCGUUGUAUUAGCUAGUAGGUGAGGUAACGGCUCACCUAGGCGACGAUACAUAGCCGACCUGAGAGGGUGAUCGGCCACACUGGGACUGAGACACGGCCCAGACUCCUACGGGAGGCAGCAGUAGGGAAUCUUCGGCAAUGGACGAAAGUCUGACCGAGCAACGCCGCGUGAGUGAAGAAGGUUUUCGGAUCGUAAAGCUCUGUUGUAAGAGAAGAACGGGUGUGAGAGUGGAAAGUUCACACUGUGACGGUAUCUUACCAGAAAGGGACGGCUAACUACGU